rnacentral:rRNA from 1 species
CACAAGCGGUGGAGCAUGUGGUUUAAUUCGAAGCAACGCGAAGAACCUUACCAGGUCUUGACAUCCCGAUGCUAUUUCUAGAGAUAGAAAGUUACUUCGGUACAUCGGUGACAGGUGGUGCAUGGUUGUCGUCAGCUCGUGUCGCGAGAUGUUCGGUUAAGUCCGCUAACGAGCGCAACCCUCGUCGUAUGUUAUAUGUGUCAUACGAGACUGCCGGUAAAAGCCGGAGGAAGGUGAGGAUGAUGUCAAGUCAGCAUGACCUUUAUAUCCAGGGCUACACACACGCUACAAUGGUCUGUACAAUGGGUAGCCAAGCCGCGAGGCGGAGCCAAUCCUGAAAGCAGGCCUCAGUUCAGAUUGCAGUCUGCAACUCGACUGCAUGAAGCCGGAGUUGCUAGUAACCGCAGGUCAGCAAUACUGCGGUGAAUACGUUCCCGGGUCUU